UUCUCCUGGCUCAAAGAUUCACUAGAGAAAGCUAGUCCCUUGCUUUCCUAGAUCUGAGACGCUUGGCUCGGUUCCAGAGAGAUUAAAGACUUCUUGCACCGUGAAACAGAAGGGUUACCUGUGCACAACCCUCACUGACUGCCAAAUGUUGGGAAAGCUGUGACUUCAGAAACGGUAUGAAAAGGCCACUGAACUGCUAAAAUCCCACAGUAUCCAAGCCACUGCAGCCAGCGUGCUCCCUGCACCUCCUUCCACUGCCACAACAAGAAGUGAGCAGCCCAGAAGUCGAUGCCUGCAACUCAGAGCAAUUGAAAUUGCACAGGGUCUACUUCCAAGCCUGCCAUUGUGCAAGUCUGGGAAAGGCACCAAUUCUCCCCGUGUCCCUGACCCGCCCCCCAAGUGAAACAAAACACCCAUCAAGCAGCAGGCUGGCUUGUCUGAAUGAAUUAAUAGCUAUCAAACGAUUUCAGUUCCACACAGGUCUGUCAAAGCCAUUAUCAGGAGUUUGACACUGGCUAUCACCCACUCCUUCAGAAAGAAAGGAGAAAAAGAGGCAACAUCAGGCAACUGCAGAACGACCUAGCCUCAGAGAACGACUUGACAUCGUGCAGAUAUUUAACAGUAACAUUUAUCCAGCAGGACUGACAUUCACUAGACUGGAACCAGGCAAUCUGGUGUUUCGUAGUCUCCCUCUUAGCUCCUAAGGCUUAGAGCCUUGAAAGUUUUAAGCAUCUAAAAAAUGUCAGCUGCCUGAAACCUACCUACCUUUGAAGAGCAGGGCCUCAGGAUAAGCCUGCUAACCAGCAGAGCCUAACUUUAUGCCACGGGGAAUGCCAGCCCU